rnacentral:rRNA from 1 species
UACGUAGGGUGCGAGCGUUGUUCGGAAUCAUUGGGCGUAAAGGGCGCGUAGGCGGGCAUGAAAGUCGAUUGUGAAAGCCCCGGGCUUAACCUGGGAAUGGCAGUCGAUACUCCAUGUCUUGAGUGCUUGAGAGGGUCAUGGAAUUCCAGGUGUAGAAGUGAAAUUCGUAGAUAUCUGGAGGAACACCGGCGGCGAAGGCGGUGACCUGGUGAGACACUGACGCUGAGGCGCGAAAGUGCGGGGAUCAAACAGG